GAUGAACGCUGGCGGCGUGCCUAAUACAUGCAAGUCGAGCGAACAGACGAGGAGCUUGCUCCUCUGACGUUAGCGGCGGACGGGUGAGUAACACGUGGAUAACCUACCUAUAAGACUGGGAUAACUUCGGGAAACCGGAGCUAAUACCGGAUAAUAUAUUGAACCGCAUGGUUCAAUAGUGAAAGACGGUUUUGCUGUCACUUAUAGAUGGAUCCGCGCCGCAUUAGCUAGUUGGUAAGGUAACGGCUUACCAAGGCGACGAUGCGUAGCCGACCUGAGAGGGUGAUCGGCAACACUGGAACUGAGACACGGUCCAGACUCAUACGGGAGGCAGCAGUAGGGAAUCUUCCGCAAUGGGCGAAAGCCUGACGGAGCAACGCCGCGUGAGUGAUGAAGGUCUUCGGAUCGUAAAACUCUGUUAUUAGGGAAGAACAAAUGUGUAAGUAACUAUGCACGUCUUGACGGUACCUAAUCAGAAAGCCACGGCUAACUACGUG
rnacentral:rRNA from 1 species